rnacentral:rRNA from 1 species
UACAGGGGUCUCAAGCGUUGUUCGGAUUCAUUGGGCGUAAAGGGUGCGUAGGUGGCGCCGUAAGUCAGGUGUGAAAUUUCGGAGCUUAACUCCGAAACUGCAUUUGAUACUGCGGUGCUUGAGGACUGGAGAGGAGACUGGAAUUUACGGUGUAGCAGUGAAAUGCGUAGAGAUCGUAAGGAAGACCAGUGGCGAAGGCGGGUCUCUGGACAGUUCCUGACACUGAGGCACGAAGGCCAGGGGAGCAAACGGG